ensembl:snRNA U6 U6 spliceosomal RNA
GUGCUCACUUUGGCAACACAUAUAAUAAUAUCGGAAUGAUACAGAGAAGACUAGCACGGCUCCUGUACAAGGAUGACACAUAAAUUCAUGAAGCAUUCUAUAUUUUU